rnacentral:rRNA from 1 species
CACGUAGGGUGCGAGCGUUGUCCGGAAUUAUUGGGCGUAAAGAGCUCGUAGGCGGUGUGUCACGUCGGCCGUGAAAACCUGGGGCUUAACUCUGGGCGUGCGGUCGAUACGGGCAUCACUAGAGUUCGGCAGGGGAGACUGGAAUCCUGGUGUAGCGGUGAAAUGCGCAGAUAUCAGGAGGAACACCGGUGGCGAAGGCGGGUCUCUGGGCCGAUACUGACGCUGGAGGAGCGAAAGCGUGGGGAGCGAACAGG